rnacentral:tRNA from 1 species
GCUUCCGAUAGCUCAGCUGGCGAGAGCAUGCUGCUGCUAACACCAAGGUUGCAGGUUCGAUCCCCGUACGGGACAGCA